rnacentral:sRNA from 1 species
GAGGCGUCUACAAACCUUCAACAUCCCAAACUAACGGUGCGGUGCCGUGGGAAUCUUCGCCCUUCAGGGCGGAGAGGAGGUCAAUCUUU